UUGUGCGUCACUGUCCGCCGCCGUGUCCCCAGGCUACUCCAGCCUGCCUCCUUUCCAGUCUGCGGCCUCAAUGUCCUUACCCCGGUGUGCCCUGCUGUGGGCUCGGCUCCCCGCCGGGCGCCAGGCUGGCCACCGGGCAGCCGUCUGCUCUGCCCUUCGCUCCCACACCGUGCCCUUUCCCGGGGCUCUCGGGCGCGUUUCUGCCGUCGCCUGCGCCUCCUCCUCCGCCUCAGGAGGCUCCAAAACCCCGAACACGUCCUUGUUCGUGCCGCUGACUGUCAAACCUCAGGGUCCCAGCGCGGAUGGCGACGUCGGGGCCGAACUAACUCGCCCUCUGGACAAGAAUGAAGUCAAGAAGAUCUUAGAUAAGUUUUACAAGAGGAAGGAAAUUCAGAAGCUGGGUGCUGAUUAUGGACUUGAUGCGCGUCUCUUCCACCAAGCUUUCAUAAGCUUUAGAAACUAUAUCAUGCAGUCUCAUUCCCUGGAUGUGGACAUUCACAUUAUUUUAAAUGAUAUUUGCUUCAGUGCAGCUCAUGUGGAUGAUUUAUUUCCAUUUUUCUUGAGACACGCAAAGCAAAUAUUUCCUGUGUUGGAGUGUAAGGAUGAUCUACGUAAAAUCAGCGACCUAAGAAUACCACCUAACUGGUACCCAGAAGCUAGAGCCAUACAGCGGAAGAUAAUAUUCCAUUCAGGCCCCACAAACAGUGGAAAGACUUAUCAUGCAAUUCAGAAAUACCUGUCAGCAAAAUCUGGAGUGUAUUGUGGCCCUUUAAAAUUACUGGCACAUGAGAUCUUCGAAAAGAGUAAUGCUGCUGGUGUGCCAUGUGAUUUGGUAACAGGUGAAGAGCGUGUGACAGUAGAGCCAGAUGGGAAACAGGCUGCCCACGUUGCUUGUACUGUUGAGAUGUGCAGUGUUACAACUCCCUAUGAAGUGGCUGUGAUUGAUGAAAUUCAGAUGAUUAAAGACCCAGCCAGAGGAUGGGCCUGGACCAGAGCACUGCUAGGACUCUGUGCUAAAGAAAUCCAUUUGUGUGGAGAAUCUGCUGCUAUUGACCUGGUUACUGAGCUUAUGUACACAACUGGGGAAGAUGUGGAGGUUCGAACCUACAAGAGGCUUACCCCCAUUUCUGUGCUGGAUCACGCACUAGAAUCUUUAGACAACCUUCGGCCUGGGGACUGCAUUGUCUGUUUUAGCAAGAAUGAUAUUUAUUCUGUGAGUCGACAGAUUGAAAUUCGGGGAUUGGAAUCAGCUGUUAUAUAUGGCAGUCUCCCACCUGGGACAAAACUUGCUCAAGCAAAAAAGUUUAAUGAUCCUGAUGAUCCAUGCAAAAUCCUGGUUGCUACAGAUGCAAUUGGCAUGGGACUUAAUUUGAGCAUAAGAAGAAUUAUUUUUUACUCCCUUAUGAAGCCCAGUAUCAAUGAAAAGGGAGAGAGAGAAAUAGAACCAAUCACCACUUCUCAAGCCUUGCAGAUUGCUGGCAGGGCUGGUAGAUUCAGUUCGAAAUUUAAAGAAGGAGAGGUUACAACAAUGCAUCGAGAAGAUCUCAAUUUAUUAAAGGAAAUUUUGAGUAGACCUGUGGAUCCUAUAAAGGCAGCUGGUCUUCAUCCAACUGCUGAACAGAUUGAAAUGUUUGCCUACCAUCUCCCUGACACAACGCUUUCUAAUCUCAUUGAUAUUUUUGUAGAUUUUUCACAAGUUGAUGGGCAGUAUUUUGUCUGCAAUAUGGAUGAUUUUAAAUUUUCUGCAGAGUUGAUCCAGCACAUUCCAUUAAGUCUACGAGUGAGGUAUGUUUUCUGCACAGCCCCUAUCAACAAGAAGCAGCCUUUUGUCUGUUCUUCCUUGUUACAGUUUGCCAGGCAGUAUAGCAGAAAUGAGCCCCUGACCUUCUCAUGGUUACGCAGAUAUAUUAAAUGGCCAUUACUUCCACCUAAGAAUAUUAAAGACCUCAUGGAUCUUGAGGCUGUUCAUGAUGUCUUGGAUCUCUACCUGUGGCUAAGCUACCGGUUCAUAGAUAUGUUUCCAGAUGCCAGCCUUGUUCGAGAUCUUCAGAAACAACUAGAUGGUAUUAUCCAAGAUGGUGUACACAACAUCACCAAACUGAUUAAAAUUUCAGAGACACAUAAACUGCUGAAUUUGGAGGGCUUGUCAGCAGAGCGCUCAUCCCGUUUGUCAGGAACAUUAAAGAGCCAAGCCAGAAGGAAUCGCAGCACCAAAGCUUUAGGGAGUAAAGCUGCGGAGCCCCUCAGCCCUGCUGCAGGAGAGAAAUCCCUUGCUUCCAGAUUGGUGCAGCAAGGCCUCCUCACUGCAGACAUGCUGAAACAGCUGGAGAAAGAGUGGAUGACACAACAAACUGAGCAUGGCAAAGAAAGAACAGAAUCUGGAACUUACUCAAAAGGGACAAGAAGAAAGAAGAAGGAUCCUGAUUCAGAUUAGUUUUAUUUUUAUUUUUGCCAAUAAAAUCUAUUUUAAAAUCUUUUUUUUUUCUUUAUAUGCAUUUACUGCCUGCUAUGGUACUGUGGCUUUUUACUGGGUUUUUUGGCUUAAAAAAAUUCACUCUUAAGGAUGACUAAACUGCUGUUUGUUUCCAUGUUCAAGAGAUUUUAUUUAAAGCCUCAUUUAAUGGCCAUUUGUAGUAUAUCACUAAGACAAUGCACUGAAAAGAACUCUGCAUGAGGAUAAAAUCAGUUUGAUGAAUUGUUUUGACCAGUUUCCUAAACCUUUGCUGACGAUGUCAUGGGUGGAAUUCUUUGACAAACAUUGCUGUUUGUUGUACCCGUGCCCAGAGGCUAGUCUUUGUGCUGGAAAUACAAAAUGAGACAUAAUAUUCCUGCCCUUAUGGAGAUCAUAUUUUGGAUAUAUUGAUAGGAAUAAGUUAACAAAUAAUGUCAGCUCUCUGAGGGCCAUUGUUGUCUAUCUAGUUCACUGCUUGAUCUGUGGUGCCUGGAAUAUAGUCGAAUGCAUAGAUGUAAUUUGCAGAGUUAAAUGCUAGAAAGAAGUAGAAUAAGGGAAGAGAGUGGUAGUCGUUGGUGGGCUAUUUACAUAGAAAGAGUGAUCUUCCCAUGUCCAGAGGCCAGUCUGAUGCAUAGUGGCCUUUACUUGUCCAAGAAAGUUUUAGGCCUUGAGUAGAGAUGUGGCUAAAACCAGCUUAAGGCCAUAGGCUUUGGAGUUGCACAGGCCUUGGUUUAGCUUCUCACUGCUACCAGCUUAGUGACCUUGCCCUUUGUUCAGUUUGAUCUCUCCAACUGAAAAAGAUGGGCAAUAAAGCCUACCCAGAGUUGUUGUGAGGUUAAGUGUGAUGAGAUGCCAUUUACCACAGGACCUGCUAUACAGGCAGUGUUUUAUAAGUGAACCUUAAGGUUUGGGCACAUUCUGAGCUGUGAAUUGAACUCUCAGGUCAUUCGAAGAACUAAACUAAUUUCCUGAGCAACUGCUAAAUUGAGGCUGACUUAGGACUAGGGAUUAAACUGAUUUGGUUGCAAUUGGAUUAAGGAACAGCCAAGUUUUCAAAGUUAUCUUCUGACUUUUUCUUCUGUAGUUCAGAGUUCAGAUGAUAAUUCAUUUAACUGAGGUAGCAGUCUUUAUUCUUCUAACCUUUGCCUUUAUAGAAGGCUGAACAGGUGGCACUGACUCUCUUUCUCCCUUGCUUGAGGAUAAACAGUAGUGAAAUGCCUGGAAAGGGCAUCUUUCUUUUGGUAUUUUGCAGCUGAACAACUUUAGCUUCUAGAACUUGCUUCCCACUGUGAUUUACACCACAGUAGACACAGUCCAUUCUUGCCCAGAUGGUCUCAAGAAAUGCCCAUAAGCUGAACUGGACAAUGCAUUUGGUCUUGUAGUUAAGUGAUGAGAUACAUCACUUAGAGGGUUAUUCUCCUACUUUCUCCACUUUGGAAGCCAGAAUUGGUAAGUCAGAGAAGACGCUUAGGCAACACACUUGCAAACUUAGGCAAGUUAAAUGUUAGUGAAGCCUCAGAUAAGAGUUGAGAUGGGAGUGCCUUAACGGAAGUGCUGCUUGAACGUUGAGCUGAAGGGUGUUUAUAAAUACUAGUGAUAGCUUACCUUUCACCUCUCCUUGCUUUGUGGAAGAGGAGAGCUCUGUGGCUAGGCAGAGAAGAGAUUCAAGAAAGGUGAAAUCAGGUGACAUAAAAAAGGAAAUACAGAAUUGUAGUGUUCCCGAAUAAUUUUCUACAGUAUCUGAAAUUGUCACUGAAAACAGUUUGAUCCUCCUCUGCUGUAAAUUUGACACGCCACUUAUCUUUGUGGGCUUCUGGGCAGCUAAGUUCCAGGCAUACAUUUCACUCGAGUCAUCUCAAUUUUUCCAAAACACAACUUCUUCUCUUUUCCUUGCAGUUUUCUAAUAGGCUUUGAAGCACCUGCCUGAAAACUCUUCUUGGACUAUUGUGGAUUCACCUGAGCAUCAACAUUGGGUAUGGACUGAGGCUUAGAUGCUGACCUCAGUUCUAUCAGUACAGAUCUGGGGUUCCAUCCAGGAUCCUUCAUUGUAUUUAGAUGUCACGCCUCUUUGGACUCCUCUUGGCUGUGAUAGUUUCUCAGGCUUUCCUUGCUUUUGAUGACUCUGACAGCUUUGAGGAGCCCUAGUCACGUAUUGUACUACAGAAUGUCCCUUAAUUGGGAUUUGUCUGAUGUGUCUUAGAAUUAGCCUGAAGUUACGGGUUUUUGAGAGGAAGACCACAGAGGUAAAGUACUAUUCUUACCACGCCAUAGCAAAGGUACAUACCAUGGACGUCUCUGUUGAAGUUAACCUUGAUCAUCUGGCUGGGGUAGUGUUUGUCAGGUUUCUCCACAGUACAGGUACUUUCCCCAGUCUUCCCCACCGCCUUUCCAUGCUGCGUGCUUGGAAGGAAGCCACUCUGCACAGCCCAUGUUUCAGGAGUGGGGAUUAUGCUCCAUCUCCCUGGGUGUUGGGGGAAGGGAAGUACCUACGUAAAUUGUUUAGAAUCCUUCUGCAGGGAAGAUUUGUCUUCUCCCACAUUUAUAUACAUAUUAUUUUUUCAUCUGAUUAUAUUAGUAGGGAUUGAUGGGGGUUUAUUUUAUACUUUGGGUUAUAAUCCAAUAAUACUUUAUCUCGUUGCUCAGAUUGUUCUAGCAUGGUUAUCAUGAGCUCUUUGGGUUGGCUCCUAUAUCCCUUUGUUGUAUCCCCAUCAUUUGUUUUUUAGCGUUCUUAUUUUUUUGGCACUAUAAGAUGCUCCAGGCCCCUCUUGUAUAUAUUAUUCUGCCUAGCUCUAGAAUCAGACAUUUCUCCAAGGAACACUGGCUUUGUUUUUUGUUGUUUGUUUUUGAGGAUGAUAUUAAAAACCAAGCUCUGAGUGCUAGUUA